AUACGUAGGUGACAAGCGUUAUCCGGAAUUACUGGGCGUAAAGCGCACGCAGGCGGCUGCUUAAGUCUGACGUGAAAUCUCCUGGCUUAACUGGGAGGGGUCGUUGGAAACUGAGUGGCUUGAGGUGGUGAGAGGGGUGCAGAAUUCCCGGUGUAGUGGUGGAAUGCGUAGAUAUCGGGAGGAAUACCAGUGGCGAAAGCGGCACCCUGGCACUAACCUGACGCUCAUGUGCGAAAGCGUGGGUAGCAAACGGGAUUAGAUACCCCGGUAGUCCACGCUGUAAACGAUGAGUACUAGGUGUGGGUGGAGUCAAAUCCAUCUGUGCCGAAGCAAACGCGCUAAGUACUCCGCCUGGGGAGUACGGCCGCAAGGCUAAA
rnacentral:rRNA from 1 species